rnacentral:rRNA from 1 species
UGGGGGAUAUUGCACAAUGGGCGCAAGCCUGAUGCAGCGACGCCGCGUGGGUGAAGAAGUACCUCGGUACGUAAAGCCCUAUCAGCAGGGAAGAAAAUGACGGUACCUGACUAAGAAGCUCCGGCUAAAUACGUGCCAGCAGCCGCGGUAAUACGUAUGGAGCAAGCGUUAUCCGGAUUUACUGGGUGUAAAGGGAGCGUAGGCGGCAUACCAAGCCUGAUGUGAAAACCCGGGGCCCAACCGCGGGAGUGCAUUGGGAACUGGCAAGCUGGAGUGUCGGAGAGGCAGGCGGAAUUCCUAGUGUAGCGGUGAAAUGCGUAGAUAUUAGGAGGAACACCAGUGGCGAAGGCGGCCUGCUGGACGAUGACUGACGCUGAGGCUCGAAAGCGUGGGGAGCAAACAGGAUUAGAUACCC